CCUACGGGAGUCAGCAGUGGGGAAUAUUGGGCAAUGGGCGCAAGCCUGACCCAGCAACGCCGCGUGAAGGAAGAAGGCUUUCGGGUUGUAAACUUCUUUUCUCAGGGACGAAGAAAGUGACGGUACCUGAGGAAUACGCCACGGCUAACUACGUGCCAGCAGCCGCGGUAAAACGUAGGUGGCAAGCGUGAUCCGGAUUUAUGGGGUGUAAAGGGCGGGUAGGCGGGAGCGCAAGUCAGAUGUGAAAACUCAGAGCUCCACCCUGGGCCUGCAUUUGAAACUGUGUUUCUUGAGUGCUGGAGAGGCAAUCGGAAUUCGUGGUGUAGCGGUGAAAUGCGUAGAUAUACGGAGGAACACCAGUGGCGAAGGCAGAUUGCUGGACAGUAACUGACGCUGAGGCGCGAAAGCGUGGGGAGCAAACAGGACUAGAUACCCGAGUAGUC
rnacentral:rRNA from 1 species